GUGUCAGCCGCCGCGGUAAUACGGAGGGUGCAAGCGUUAUCCGGAUUCAUUGGGUUUAAAGGGUGCGCAGGCGGAUACUUAAGUCAGUGGUGAAAUCCCGGGGCUCAACCCCGGAACUGCCAUUGAUACUGAAUAUCUGGAAUACGGUUGAAGUGGGCGGAAUGUAGCAUGUAGCGGUGAAAUGCAUAGAGAUGCUACAGAACACCGAUCGCGAAGGCAGCUCACUAAGCCGAUAUUGACGCUCAGGCACGAAAGCGUGGGGAGCGAACAGGAUUAGAUACCCUGGUAGUCCACGCCGUAAACGAUGAUAACUCGUUGUUGGCGACACACAGUCAGCGACUAAGCGAAAGCGAUAAGUUAUCCACCUGGGGAGUACGAUCGCAAGGUUGAAACUCAAAGGAAUUGGCGG
rnacentral:rRNA from 1 species